rnacentral:piRNA from 1 species
CAAAGAGUCCGGUACACAAGGAGC